UUUCCUGAAUGCCUGGUAAGCAACAGCAUCAGUGGGAGUUGGGCAGGAGGGAAGCAGGAAGGUCCUUUGGAGCAUGCAGAUUUGAGCCUCAGCACUUUUUACCCUAGCUCUUGAAAUGCAUCAUGAUUUCUGUUCAGUGGAUGGUAAAGUUUAUCUAGGUUAUCUUGGAAAAAUGGCAACAAAACUUAAUUGGAAUGGGCUUUCGCUACUAAGGACCACUCUGAAGUGUGUAGGUUGCUAGAAAUCCUCCCGACUUAGCUUUUUUUGAAUUUGAACCCAAGAUGCGGCUGAAGCUGUAUGAGAGCUAGAUGGAAGAUCGCUGUGUAGCUGCCCUGUGAGUAGAAAUGAUGGCCCACCUAUCUCUUGGGACUGUCACCCUCGAGAUGAUCAUCGUAGGAGUCCUCCACCUCUCCGCAGAUGUCCAAGAAGGAAAAGCUUCUCUCACAGGGGGAGUAUCUUCUUUUCUAGAGAUAGGAGAAAACACAGAGAUCACUGUCUUGGGAGAGAAAUCACAAGCCGUCCCGAUCCUUCUCUAGGUCUCAGUCAGUUUAAGUUGAAUGAAAGGAAAUAGAAGACCAGUUUGCAAGAGAAGUUGUAUGCAGGAAAUAACUUCAUUUGACGAGAGUAUGUGCAGAAAACUCAAGUUUUGUUUGAGACUUCAUAAGCAUGGUACAUUUUAAAUAUGUUUUAACUUUUCAAAUUUGUUUGCCUUUGGGAACAGUGACACACAAAGGUGCAAUUCUCUGUGGUUUGAAAUAGAUUCUGUGAAGCAUGUAACACCAAGAAUUGCUACUUUAUGAUGUUCCCUUAAGCAAAAUCGAAUUUGCUUUGAACUUUAGUUAUGCAUAGACUGAUAAUAAACCUCUAAAUUCUGCCUAGUAGAAAUGUAAUUUUUUAAAAAAUACAGAAACAAAACUGGCAAAAGUGGAACUAAGAUUUACUUUUUUUCCAUAGCUGUGAUAUAGUAUGCAGCUAUAGUUAAGCAAGUGGUAAAAGUUGCUGUGGAACACAAGCCAAUGGAUAAAAAGAAAAGCUGCAACAUCAAACUAAAUUAGAGGUUUUUGAGAAAUCCAACUGGUUUUCACCCUGGGAGAGGUUGCCAAGUUGGUAUAGAAUCUGUUAAAUUUCAAGUAAGUUUACCUUUACUUUAGGUCAUAAGUUCCUUAUGUAAUUGCUAUAUAUGAAGACAUGCCUGUUUGUAACAUUCUUCACUAGGAAAUUUGAGAUUUCAAAAUACCAAUGUCCUGCCAGUUUAAGGGUAUUUUGUAGAAGUGAACUUUGAGUUACUAUGCAAAAAUUUGUUUUCAUGCUGUCAUUUGUAAUAUGUUUUGUGAGAAUCCUUGGGAUUAUAGUUUUGCUUACAA
rnacentral:lncRNA from 1 species